ACCCAGGGGACUCCGCGGUGCCGGCCGACCCGGAAGCAUGUCUGUCCCUAGCGGAGGCGCGGGUGCCGUGCUGAGAGCGCCUGCCUGUGCGCCCCGAGCGGGGCUGGGACUCUUCCAAGAUGCCCACGUUCGCACAGAGACCCCGGAUCGCGGAAGCUCGCGUCUCGAAAGGCGGUCUCACGCCCUGCCCGUCCUGGGUUCACGGUUUUUCAUCACCUGCGGCUGUCCUGCGAUCGACCACAGCUGUGCAGGAGGGGCAGGAGGUAUCUGUUGCUGCAGUUACCGGAACCUUUGCCAGGACUAGUACAGGACCACGGGCUGGUAGCUCAGGGAUGUCUCGUCUGUGAGUUACAGCUGCACGCUCUCCAGGAAAGAAGGAAUUUCCUCUUCUCUGGAAACCCCACCACACAGCUGGUUUCUCAUUGGUGCUGCUUGCCCAUUCCCUGAGCUGUGACUGCCAGAGGAGUGGGAGGUUGGUGGUGCCUCCAGCCCAUCAGGGGCAGGCCCUGGGACCGCCUGGGAACAGGAGGACUAUGGCACAAACCGAGUGAGUGAUGGGAGCAACCCGCAGGGCUCUGCCACAUCCCUGUCUUCCUUCACUGACAUGAAACGCAGAAAAGGCAGCUUUGCCACAACACAGGAGCACGCACCGAAUGUGGCCGCCCAGGGCUCUGUCCUUGACCCUGUUGUCCAGGACUGUUUACCAAGGGCUGACAGGCACUGAGUGCCCCGUGCACCUGGCCAGACACUGCACUCAUGCAGCGGAAAGGACAGUGAACGAGACUUUGUCCCUGGCCUCCAAAGGCUUAGGGCGUAGUGGCUGUCAUGAGGCACAGUGACAAGGGCCAGGAGGGGGACCUCUUAGGGGGCCAUGCAGUGAUGGAAGCCAGAAGGAAUGAAGGCCUGCAGUGAGGAUGGAGUGGUCGGCCUGAAGCCAUCUCUAGCAAGUGGUCAGGACGCUGAUUGUUCUGCGCAGGUUGGAGGUAGGUGGUGAGUCUGAGAAAGGGGCCGGAAAGACUCCCCAGCAACUGCUGGCAAAGGGUGAAGGGCACGUUCCCACAGGAUUCAAGCCAGCUGCCUUUGGAGGGGAGACGGGCACUCAGUUUAGGCGCUCCUACAGCAGGGUCAGCAAGACAAGCAGGUUGCGGCAAGGGUCUGCGCACUGCUGUGUAAAUGUAGGGGCAUCGGGGGGCAGAAAGACCAGGGGAGAAGUGUGCAUCACCCUUGGGGUUAAGGGACAGUUGUCUGCUAGGUGUUGCUUCCUGGAGAUGGCUGAAAAGCCAGUCCAGUCUGCAGGGACCAGGCCACCACCCACCUGAUGUGGGAGCAUUUCCCCCAAUCCCUGCUGGGCUGCUGAAUCUGGGGGACAUAGGGAAGCUGAGGCUGGUGUUCUGAGUAGUGGCAGAGCUGAGCCACAGGGCAUGUCUGAGGUCAGCCCCGAGCAAAAUGGAAUAGGGACUCAGGGUGGGUCAGGUAACUGGAAAGCGGGCACUGUGCACGCAGCCCUUGAGGGGAGCCAGGGUGGGUGGGGAUCCCCCACUGUGUGCAGAAGGCAGCAGCCUUGGAAGCAGGGUGUGCUCCUCGGUGUGGUCGCUCGAUACCAGAAAAUGACUCUAAAAACUGAAGAGUGUUUGAGUUUCAUUCACACAAAACAUGGACAUCAUCUGUGAGGCUCUGUCCCAGAGAGACAGGGCCAUCCCUCAUGUCUGUUAUUGGGUUGUAGAUAAACAAAAGUAUAAAUCAAACAAACUGCAAAUUA
rnacentral:lncRNA from 1 species